CCCUCGCUCAAUAGAUCGCUAUUCGAAGCUCACAAACAGAGACACUGUGAUUUAUCGUAGCGUCUCGAUCAUUUUUCAUGGCUUUGGGAGAAAGUCCCCGGACGUCUUCGUUUCGACGAAGUUUGCGGAAACGCGCCGCCAUAGAAGCACUGCGGUUGACCUUUGCGCCCAAGCCCUCGCCCUGCACUGGCCCUGCCCUCCGCUACAUCUGCUUGCCAACGGCCUUUGUCUCAACGGUCUUUACCGCCCUCGGUCCUCUUGGAUGAAGAUAUGAGUCCGCUGUCGAGGUGCGGUGAGUUCUGGACGGACGGGUUGUCUGGCGGGUGGAUGGUGGGCAGACGCUUAGUGCUCGUGUGUGUGGCAUCGGGUCGCUUAGGAUUUGUUGUCGAGAUUGACAGGUAUGCGAUUGCCUAGCGAAAGCUUGGUUACUCAAUGGGGCUCAUUCUUGAUGCGAGG
rnacentral:RNase_MRP_RNA from 1 species